UUCGCAAUGCCCGAAAGGGUGAACGAGCGACGCCGCGUGCGGGAUGAAGGCCUUCGGGUUGUAAACUCCUGUCGAGGGGGAGGAAGGGGCAACCUUGACCGACCCCUGGAGGAAGCACGGGCUAAGUUCGUGCCAGCAGCCGCGGUAAGACGAACCGUGCGAACGUUAUUCGGAAUCACUGGGCUUAAAGCGCGUGUAGGCGGACGGGAACGUCGGUCUUUGAAAGCCCCCGGCUCAACCGGGGAAGUGGAGCCGAAACGACCGGUCUGGAGGGACGUAGGGGGACCUGGAACUUCCGGUGGAGCGGUGAAAUGCGUUGAGAUCGGAAGGAACGCCCGUGGCGAAAGCGAGGUCCUGGACGUCUGCUGACGCUGAGACGCGAAAGCUAGGGGAGCAAACGGGAUUAGAUACCCCGGUAGUCCUAGCCGUAAACGAUGGGCACUAAGUAGAGGGGUUUU
rnacentral:rRNA from 1 species